UAACCUGCCCAAGAGAUCGGGAUAACACCUGGAAACAGAUGCUAAUACCGGAUAACAACAGAUGAUGCCUAUCAACUGUUUAAAAGAUGGUUCUGCUAUCACUCUUGGAUGGACCUGCGGUGCAUUAACUAGUUGGUAGGGUAACGGCCUACCAAGGCGAUGAUGCAUAGCCGAGUUGAGAGACUGAUCGGCCACAUUGGGACUGAGACACGGCCCAAACUCCUACGGGAGGCAGCAGCA
rnacentral:rRNA from 1 species